UACGUAGGGCGCAAGCGUUAUCCGGAAUUAUUGGGCGUAAAGAGCUCGUAGGCGGUUUGUCGCGUCUGCCGUGAAAGUCCGGGGCUCAACUCCGGAUCUGCGGUGGGUACGGGCAGACUAGAGUGAUGUAGGGGAGACUGUAAUUCCUGGUGUAGCGGUGAAAUGCGCAGAUAUCAGGAGGAACACCGAUGGCGAAGGCAGGUCUCUGGGCAUUAACUGACGCUGAGGAGCGAAAGCAUGGGGAGCGAACAGG
rnacentral:rRNA from 1 species